rnacentral:rRNA from 1 species
GUGGGGAAUAUUGGACAAUGGGCGAAAGCCUGAUCCAGCCAUGCCGCGUGUGUGAAGAAGGUCUUCGGAUUGUAAAGCACUUUAAGUUGGGAGGAAGGGCAGUAAGUUAAUACCUUGCUGUUUUGACGUUACCGACAGAAUAAGCACCGGCUAACUUCGUGCCAGCAGCCGCGGUAAUACGAAGGGUGCAAGCGUUAAUCGGAAUUACUGGGCGUAAAGCUCGCGUAGGUGGUUUUGUAAGUUGGAGGUGAAAUCCCCGGGCUCAACCUGGGAACUGCCUACAAAACUGCAUGACUAGAGUGCGGUAGAGGGUAGUGGAAUUUCCUGUGUAGCGGUGAAAUGCGUAGAUAUAGGAAGGAACACCAGUGGCGAAGGCGACUACCUGGACUGAUACUGACACUGAGGUGCGAAAGCGUGGGGAGCAAACAGGAUUAGAAACCCCGGUAGUCC